AUUGAACGCUAGCGGCAGGCCUAACACAUGCAAGUCGAACGAGUGGCGGACGGGUGAGUAAUGUCUGGGAACCUGCCCGAUGGCGGGGGAUAACUACUGGAAACGGUAGCUAAUACCGCAUACCAUCGGAUGUGCCCAUAUGGGAUUAGCUAGUUGGUGGGGUAACGGCUCACCUAGGCGACGAUCCCUAGCUGGUCUGAGAGGAUGACCAGCCACACGGGAACUGAGACACGGUCCAGACUCCUACGGGAGGCAGCAGUGGGGAAUAUUGCACAAUGGGCGAAAGCCUGAUGCAGCCAUGCCGCGUGUAUGAAGAAGGCCUUCGGGUUGUAAAGUACUUUUAGCGGGGAGGCGUUACUAGCAGAAGAAGCACCGGCUAACUACGUGCCAGCAGCCGCGGUAAUUC
rnacentral:rRNA from 1 species